UGGCGGACGGGUGAGUAAUGUCUGGGAAACUGCCUGAUGGAGGGGGGUAACUACUGGAAACGGUAGCUAAUACCGCAUAACGUCGCAAGACCAAAGAGGGGGACCUUCGGGCCUCUUGCCAUCGGAUGUGCCCAGAUGGGAUUAGCUAGUAGGUGGGGUAAAGGCUCACCUAGGCGACGAUCCCUAGCUGGUCUGAGAGGAUGACCAGCCACACUGGAACUGAGACACGGUCCAG
rnacentral:rRNA from 1 species